GACGAACGCUGGCGGCGUGCUUAACACAUGCAAGUCGAACGGAAAGGCCUGCAGCUUGCUGCGGGUACUCGAGUGGCGAACGGGUGAGUAACACGUGGGUGAUCUGCCUUGCACUUCGGGAUAAGCUUGGGAAACUGGGUCUAAUACCGGAUAGGACAGCUGUUUAGUGUCAGUUGUGGAAAGUUUUUUCGGUGCAAGAUGAGCUCGCGGCCUAUCAGCUUGUUGGUGGGGUAAUGGCCUACCAAGGCGUCGACGGGUAGCCGGCCUGAGAGGGUGUACGGCCACAUUGGGACUGAGAUACGGCCCAGACUCCUACGGGAGGCAGCAGUGGGGAAUAUUGCACAAUGGGCGGAAGCCUGAUGCAGCGACGCCGCGUGGGGGAUGAAGGCCUUCGGGUUGUAAACUCCUUUCGACAGGGACGAAGCUUUUGUGACGGUACCUGUAUAAGAAGCACCGGCUAACUACGUGCCAGCAGCCGCGGUAAUACGUAGGGUGCGAGCGUUGUCCGGAAUUACUGGGCGUAAAGAGCUCGUAGGUGGUUUGUCGCGUCGUCUGUGAAAUUCCGGGGCUUAACUCCGGGCGUGCAGGCGAUACGGGCUGACUUGAGUGCUGUAGGGGAGACUGGAAUUCCUGGUGUAGCGGUGAAAUGCGCAGAUAUCAGGAGGAACACCGAUGGCGAAGGCAGGUCUCUGGGCAGUAACUGACGCUGAGGAGCGAAAGCAUGGGUAGCGAACAGGAUUAGAUACCCUGGUAGUCCAUGCCGUAAACGGUGGGCGCUAGGUGUAGGGGGCUUCCACGUCUUCUGUGCCGUAGCUAACGCAUUAAGCGCCCCGCCUGGGGAGUACGGCCGCAAGGCUAAAACUCAAAGGAAUUGACGGGGGCCCGCACAAGCGGCGGAGCAUGUGGAUUAAUUCGAUGCAACGCGAAGAACCUUACCUGGCUUGACAUAUACAAGACAGGCGUAGAGAUACGUCCUCCCUUGUGGUUUGUAUACAGGUGGUGCAUGGUUGUCGUCAGCUCGUGUCGUGAGAUGUUGGGUUAAGUCCCAUAACGAGCGCAACCCCUAUUGUUAGUUACCAUCAUUAAGUUGGGGACUCUAGCAAUACUGCCGGUGACAAACCGGAGGAAGGUGGGGAUGACGUCAAAUCAUCAUGCCCUUUAUGACCUGGGCUACACACGUGCUACAAUGGCAGGUACAGAGGGAAGCGAGACUGCGAAGUUAAGCAAAACUCAAAAAGCCUGUCCCAGUUCGGAUUGCACUCUGCAACUCGAGUGCAUGAAGUUGGAGUUGCUAGUAAUCGCAGAUCAGGAUGCUGCGGUGAAUGCGUUCCCGGGUCU
rnacentral:rRNA from 1 species